UGGUUGCACCGGAAAAGAAGAGAUUCUCUUCCAUCAUUGGGUUUCGCCAUUGCCCGGGGCCCCAAGAAGCACUUGAAGCCUGUUGCAGCUCAGAAGCAUUUGGAUGCUCGACAAACUAAUGGGUGUAUCUGCACCUUGUCCAUUGACAGGUCCCCACAAGCUGAGGGAAUGUCUUCCCCUGAUUGUCUUCCUCAGGAAUAGACUCAAGUACACAUUGACUGGAGAUGAGAUAUGUAUGCAACGCUUCAUCAAAAUUGAUGGUAGGGUUCGAGCGGACAGCACAUACCCUGCUGGAUUCAUGGGUGUCAUCAGCAUCAAGAACACAGGUAAACAUUUCCGCCUGGUCUAUGGCACCAAGGGCCGUUUUGCCAUUCACCACAUCACAGUGGAAGAGGCAAGGUAAAAGUUGUGCAAAGUGAGGAAGAUCACUGUGGGGAUGAAGGGAAUCCCACACCUGGUGACAUGAUGCUUGAACCAUCUGCUACCCAAAUCCUCUCAUCAAGAUGAAUGAAACUGUGCAGACUGAUUAAGGGACUGGCAAGAUAAUCAACCUGAUCAAAUUCGACACGACACGGGCAAUGUGUGUAUGGUGAUUGGUGGGGCCAGCCUCAUUCGUCUUGGUGUGAUCGCCAACAGGGAAAGACAUCCUGGUUCUUGUGAUGUGGUGCAUGUGAAGGAUGACAAUGGCAACAGCUUUGCCACAAGGGUUUCUGACAGUUUUGUCACUGGCAACAGCAAUAAGCCUUGGAUUUCUCUCCUUAGGUGAAAGGGCAUCCGACUUAAAACUAUUGCGGAAGAGAAAGACAAGAGGCUGGCCACCAAACAGAGCAGUAGCUAAAUUAUAGUAGCAGCAUAUCUUUUUUCUUUGCACAAAUAAACAGUGAAUUCCCGUUUAAAA